rnacentral:rRNA from 1 species
AUGGCAUUAUCUGGACGGCUCAUACAGUUGCCACCAAUUAAUGUUCCUUUAAAAGUUUCAAGCAACCCUAAGUUCAUGUCGUACUUUCAGGAUUGUAUCGGAGCAAUUGAUGGGACACAUGUUCCGAUUAGCAUAUCUCCGAGACUACAAGACCCAUAUCGCAAUAGAAAAGGAACAUUAUCACAAAAUGUCAUGGUGGCAUGUAAUUUUGAAAAUCAAUUCGUCCAUGUCAGUGCGGGCUGGGAAGGUUCAGCUUCUGAUGCUCGAGUGCUACAAGAUGCACUAGAAAACAAUUUCUAUGUGCCAGAGGGAAAAUUUUAUUUGUUUGAUGCAGGAUAUGCAUAUACACCUAAUUUUAUUGCACCCUACCGGAAUGUCAGGUACCAUUUGAACGAGCAAGCUAGAUGCAACCAAAGGCCACAGAAUGCUAAAGAGCUAUUCAAUCUCAGACAUGCACAAUUGCGUAAUCACAUAGAGCAUAUCAUUGGCGUUGUGAAGAAGCGUUUCCCAAUAUUGAAGUGUGCUUCACAUUAUCCAAUUGAAUCUCAACCUGAUAUUGUCAUAGCAUGUUGUGCACUUCAUAACUUUAUUUGCAAUCACGAGGGGGGAGAACAAUGGUUUGACCAAGUUGGCUCCAAUAUUGACCCAACAAAUAUAGUUGAUAUUCCAAAUGGGGAUGCAAAAUACAGAAGUGAUGUACAAUCUCUCAAUGAGCGGUGUGCAUUGGGUCAUUCAAAAAGGGAUCAAAUUGCUGAAUCCAUGUGGAAAGACUACUGUGAGUAUCUGCAGGAGCGCGCUAGAAGAAAUAGUGCAUGA